CACAAUAUGAAUCAGUUUAUAACGGAAAGUUCUAAGCGCCGGUAGUCUACUAAAUAAUAAACGCAGUGUUUCAAUUGAAAAAAUAAUUUUGAAGAAAAAAAAAAAAACAACAAAAACAUAUAAUAUAGAAAUAAAAAAAUUGAAAUAUUAAUAAAACAUUUGUUGGCGAAUAUUAAAUAUAUUUACAUGCAAAAAAACGGUUGAGAAAAUUAUAUUGUAAACAAAGGUAUUUUAUUUGUAAUAUCUAAAUCUGUGAGUGUGUUUAAGUUUUCUUUUACUUUAAGUGAAAAAAUUAAAGUUUGUGUUUUUUUUCGCUGAAUGGAGUAUUAAGGAAAGGAAACUUAAGAAAAUAUAUAAUCAACAUUUUUACGAGUACACCUCGUCAUCUAUAAUCAAGCAACUUUAUAUGGGAGCAAAACUACCCUUACAACGACUGGAAAAAAUUAUUGGCCAACUAAUAAAUAUCCCAAAAUACUCAUACACUUAAUUACGAACGAGUGUGUUCAAUCAAAUAGACUUUUGUGAUUUGUUACACGAAACAAUUAAGAAAAAAAUACUCUCAUCUGGAUUGGUGUUUCCUUGUAUUUGUUGAUGGCUGCUACUAAAAUUAUUGAUGCGCCUCGCAAUGGCCAUGAAAUGGCGCCGUUGAAUACCCGAGCCCGCGGUGAUGGUACACAUGGUGUAACAAUUGUUUUGACUGCGCCCCAAAGAAAUUCCGUUAGUUCUGUAGAGAUACCGGGCGAACCGGAACGUGCAGCAUGGUCUGGUAAAAUGCAAUUUUUCCUCAGUAUUAUUGGUUACUCAGUAGGUUUGGGUAAUAUAUGGCGUUUUCCCUACUUAUGUCAACAGAAUGGUGGAGGUGCAUUUCUAAUACCCUUCAUGGUAAUGUUGGUGCUGGAAGGUAUACCACUGUUUCUCAUUGAACUGGGCAUGGGACAGCGCAUGCGUCUGGGUGCGCUGGGUGUCUGGAAUACCAUACACCCUUGGCUAGGUGGUAUUGGUAUCUCGUCAUGUAUAGUGACGUUGUUUGUGGCCCUCUACUAUAAUGUGAUUAUAACGUGGGUGUUCUUCUAUUUGUUUAAUAGUUUCCGGUAUCCUUUGCCUUGGGCUUCAUGUCCUAACAAUGGCACAGAAGGUUUCAUAGUUGAGGAGUGUGCGCGUUCUUCGGAAACCACUUACUUUUGGUAUCGCACAACCUUGGAUGCUGCUCCCUCUAUGGAUGAGCCUGGCGGUCUUAAAUGGUGGAUUGUGCUGUGUUUGUUGCUCUCCUGGACAAUUGUGUUCUUCAUUGUGAUGAAGGGUAUUCAGAGUUCGGGUAAAGUGGUGUAUUUUACUUCACUCUUUCCCUACAUUGUCCUGACAAUCUUCUUUAUUCGUGGCAUAACUUUACGUGGCGCCAGUGCGGGUCUUAUGCACAUGUACACGCCGAAAGUUGAGAAACUAGCGGAUCCCACUGUUUGGCUAGAUGCCGCUACUCAAGUAUUUUAUUCAUUUGGUUUAGCCUUUGGCUCCUUGAUUGCCUUUGGCAGCUAUAAUACGCCCAAGAAUAAUUGCGUCCGCGAUGUUUUAUUAGUGUCCGUUUGUAAUGCCAUCACCGCCAUUUACGCCAGUGUCGUUAUUUUUGCCAUUUUGGGCUUUAAGGCUACCGUCAAUAUGGAUCGUUGUAUUGAAGUAAAUAAAGACAUUUUAUUUAAGCAUGAUAUGUUGCCUUCCAAUAAUGUCACCGAGGAAAUCUAUGAAGCAGCCAUGGCCAAAGUGACCAUGAAUCAAACAAAAGAAUGGGAACUUGGAGAAUGCAGUUUAUCGCAUGAAUUAGAUAAUGCUGCCGAGGGUACUGGUUUGGCCUUUAUAGUUUUCACACAAGCUAUUGUCGAGUUACCGGGUGCACCAUUCUGGGCUGUUCUCUUCUUUACGAUGUUAUUGUCUCUGGGCUUGGGUUCACAGAUUGGCAUACUUGAGGGCAUGCUGUGCACACUGUUUGACAUUGACAUCAUUAAGCGGGUUAAGAAACAACAUGUUACUGGAGUGGUGUGUUUUUUCUGCUUCAUUGUCGGUUUCAUCUUCUGUACAGGUGCUGGCGAGUAUUGGCUGAAGAUGUUUGACUCCUUUGCCGGUACAAUUGGUCUGGUAGUUAUAGCGCUUAUGGAAAUGAUUGCCGUCGUUUAUAUCUAUGGCCAUGAAAGAUUUACUGAGGACAUUUAUCAAAUGACUGGCUACCGACCUGGCAUCUACUGGCAAUUGACUUGGCGCUAUUUUGGACCUCUUAUCAUGGUGGCCAUUCUUGUCUCCUCUGUGGUGUUUAUGAUUAUUAAGAAUCCCACUUAUGGUGCCUGGAAUGAGGAAUUGGGCGCUGUUGAAUCUAAGAGCUAUCCACCAUGGGUUAUGGGCAUUGCUUUGUCUAUGAUUUUAGCUGGCGUUUUACCCAUGCCAAUAGUGUUCCUAAUGCGUAGCUUCCAAUGCCUUAAGGUUGAUUUGGAUAUUCAUCAAGGUUCGAUUCGAAGAAAUGAAACAACCGCCUCCACUAAGGAAAUGAUUGAUAACGAUGAUGAUAUUGUGAGUCCGGAUAUGCCACCACAAGAUUCAUUAGCGGCGACACGUUUUACAAUUGGAGACUUUGAAAACUAAAGUAAAGAAAAAUAUAAUUAUAAUAUAUAAAAAAAAUAAAUUUAAAUAAACGACGAAAAAAACACUAUACAAACGCUUAAAAAAAUAAAAACGUCUACACCACAUCAAAACAAACCAACAGCAUAAAUGGAUGAUAUUAAUUUUGCUAAAAUAAAAUACAACAAAGAAAGAAAGGAUCUUAAAUGUUUACAUAAUUAAAAGCAAAUUUAACAAUAACGGUUACCUCCUAAUUGAACAACACAUAAAUCAUAUAUACGUUACAAAAUUUUUGAAUUUAAAAAAAAGUAAUCUCAUCUUUAACACCCGCAAACACACACACAAACAAACAAACGCUCGCUCAUUUGAUUUUAAUAUAUACACUGAGAAAAAUUAAUUCUUAGAGAAAUAAAAAGUGCUUUUUAAAUUAACAUCAACUAAAUUUAUAUGAAUAGAAAUUGAUUAAAAAAUUUAAAUAAAAAAAUAUAAAAUUUAUAUUAAAGCAAUUAAACAAAUUGAAAACUUCAAAUUAAAUACAUAUGUAAUUAUAUGUAUUAAUUAGAUGAAGAGUAUGAGAGAAGAGCGCCUUCUUAAUGAUUUAUUAAAAUAUUUAAUAACAACAAUUAACAACUUUAAUCAAGAGAUAAAUAUUAUAUAAUUAUAAACUUAUAUUAUGUAAAAAACCAACAACUACUUACAAACGAAAACUAAAAACUAUUUUACAACUAGAAAAUAUUUUAGCAAACAGCAAUUAUUUACAACAUUUAACAACAACAACAAAUUAAUUAAUUAAUUAUUUACUACGAAUUGAGGACUACGAUUAAAAAGAAAACGAUUUUUACUAAAAGUAAAUAUUUCAAAAACAGAACAGAAAUUAACUGAAAAUGCAUUAAACAAAUAUGAACGAGUAUGUAGUUUUAAAGUUAAAUUAAAACGAAAUUAAUUAUUAUUAUUAUGAUUGAUAUUAUAAAAAAAGUAAUAAAUAUUUAGACUAGAAACUAUAUAAAAACAAAAUAAUAUUCUUAAAAAAACCCCCCUGCUGAAAGCUCAAGAUUUUAACAAAUUUAUUUGUAUAACAAAAUUUUGCAAAUAUUUUAUUUAGUCUAUUAAAAAAACAAAAACAAUAAACAUUUUACUAACUCUAGUAUUAAACAUUAAUUAAUGAAUGAUUGAAUAAUAACAAUAGCAACAAUACUAACAACAGCUCAUUCAUAUUAGUUAUCUUGUUUAAUUUGUAAUUUAUUUUCUUUAAAUAAAAUUUUUUUAUUACUAAUACGUACUGUUGUACAUUUAUAAGUCAACAUUAAUUAAUGUUAUUAACAUUGUAAUUUAUAUUAAAAUAUUUUAUUAUUGUUUAAGUGUUUGUUUGUACAAAUCCAACAAUUGUAAAGAAAUCACCUUAACAGCAAAAUUUAUACAUUCCAAACAUAUUAAUUACUUCAUAGAUAGAGUAUUACAUAGAUACAAACAUACUGACAUACAUAUGCAACAGCUUCAUGCCUACAUAAAUACAUAUGUAUGUAUUAAGAUUGGGUUCAAUUGGUUUAACAAUAUGCGUUAUGAUCUAAAAAGGAUGACGAUGAGAAUGAUUUCAGUGGUCCCGCAUUAGGAGGGCAUGUUAAAACGCACAGUGAUGCAUCCGAUGAUGAUGACGACGAUGAUAAACCUGUUACGAUGCGUUCAGCAAUGAUGCGUGUCUCCGGGAAUCAUCUAGAUGUGCCAACUAGCAAAAAACCGUUUAAAAUGGAAGUAUUCGAUCUGUAGACCUCUCAUUAAUUAUAAACAACAGUUUAAGUAGAAAUAUACAUAAACAAUUUUUUGGUUUUUUUAUUAACUACAUAAAAGUAAGUUAAAGUUAAAAAAUUAAAUAAAAUGAAAAUACCAAAAAAAAAUAUAAAUAAAACUCAAAAUAAUUUGCAAAUAGAACAAAAACAUAAAAUAAAUAGAACUAAUUUAUAUUUGUAAAUUUUUAAGAACAAAAAAUAUUAAAAUAAAAAAAACAAUUUAUAUUAAAAAAAUGUUUGAAAAAUUGAAAAAAAAGAGUUCGAUAUUGAGGAACAAAAAUCUUGAGAAUAAAUAAAAAAAGUAUUUGUAAAUUAAAGAAUUAUGUAGUUUUUAGUUCUAAGUAAGUAGUUAUUAAGAUUAAUGAUUAAAAUUUAAAAUGAAAUCAACAAUUAAAACAGUAUAUGAUUAUGAAAGAAUAUUUGAAUUAAGUUAUUUAGUUAUUUUAGUUCUAAAACUAAAUUGAUUUAUUUAUAAUUUUACUUUUUAAAUAUAAUAUAAAUAUAAAUAAACCCAAACCAAAUAAUUUUCUAGUUACAAUAAGUUUUGUCAGUUGAAAUGAAAAUCCAAAAAUAUUGAAAAUAUCACCCAAAACUACAAAACUGUAUAAAUAUUUAACUUUGCUUUAAUAGUUUGAAAUUUAGAACACGCAUUUCCAAACAGAGUUCAACUCUAAAGUUUUUAAUUUUAUUUUCUCCUUAGAGUUUAUUUAUCCUAUAAAUUUAUUAAAAACAAAUAAUAAUUAGUAUUAUAUAUAUUUUAUUAUAUACAUAAACUUAUUUACAAAUGUUUUUUUAAUAAUUAUUUUAUGUAAACAAAUGACAAAUUUAUAAUUAUUUGUUUUGUAAUUAAAUGCUUGCCGCUUUAGAAUUUAUGUUCCCUAAAACUAUAAAAUAAAUAAAAAUUUAAAUAAUGAACAACUCCA